CCUGAACGCUGGCGGCGUGGCUAAGACAUGCAAGUCGUACGGAUGUAGCAAUACAUCAGUGGCGAACGGGAGAGUAAUGAAUCGCUAAUGUGCCCCGGACUCUGAGAUAGCUAGCCGAAAGGUUAGGUAAUACCAGAUGAGACCACGAACAGGCAUCUGUUUGUGCUCAAAGGUCCGCCGGUCUGGGAGCAGGCGAUUUCGUAUCAGCUAGUUGGUGAGGUAACGGCUCACCAAGGCGACGACGCGUAGCCGGACUGAGAGGUUGGCCGGCCUCAUUGGGACUGAGACACUGCCCAGACUCCUACGGGGGGCUGCAGUAACGAAUCUUCCGCAAUGCACGAAAGUGUGACGGAGCGACGCCGCGUGUGGGACGAAGUCCUUCGGGAUGUAAACCACUGUCAGGGGUUACCAAGUUCUGAGGAGCCCCAGAGGAAGGCACGGCUAACUCUGUGCCAGCAGCCGCCGUAAGAC
rnacentral:rRNA from 1 species